rnacentral:tRNA from 1 species
UAGCUCAGUUGGUAGAGUGUUUGCCUGGUAUACACAAGGCCCUGGGUUCAAUCCCCAG